CAGUCGCCGCGGUAAUACGAAGGGGGCUAGCGUUGUUCGGAUUUACUGGGCGUAAAGCGCACGUAGGCGGACUUUUAAGUCAGGGGUGAAAUCCCGGGGCUCAACCCCGGAACUGCCUUUGAUACUGGAAGUCUUGAGUAUGGUAGAGGUGAGUGGAAUUCCGAGUGUAGAGGUGAAAUUCGUAGAUAUUCGGAGGAACACCAGUGGCGAAGGCGGCUCACUGGACCAUUACUGACGCUGAGGUGCGAAAGCGUGGGAGCAAACAGGAUUAGAGACCCCUGUAGUCCCUGUCUCUUAUACA
rnacentral:rRNA from 1 species